rnacentral:rRNA from 1 species
GUUACCCGGUCAUUAAUAUCCUAAAGGCACCAGAUCCUCCCUGAACUUAGAAGCUAAGCAGUCAUCUCUGGUUAGUACUUAGAUGGGAGACCACCAAUGAGGACCAUAUGCAGGAGGCU